rnacentral:rRNA from 1 species
AUGCACAUAUUGUGAGCUCGAUGAGUAGGGCGGGACACGUGGUAUCCUGUCUGAAUAUGGGGGGACCAUCCUCCAAGGCUAAAUACUCCUGACUGACCGAUAGUGAACCAGUACCGUGAGGGAAAGGCGAAAAGAACCCCGGCGAGGGGAGUGAAAAAGAACCUGAAACCGUGUACGUACAAGCAGUGGGAGCACGCUUAGGCGUGUGACUGCGUACCUUUUGUAUAAUGGGUCAGCGACUUAUAUUCUGUAGCAAGGUUAACCGAAUAGGGGAGCCGAAGGGAAACCGAGUCUUAACUGGGCGUUAAGUUGCAGGGUAUAGACCCGAAACCCGGUGAUCUAGCCAUGGGCAGGUUGAAGGUUGGGUAACACUAACUGGAGGACCGAACCGACUAAUGUUGAAAAAUUAGCGGAUGACUUGUGGCUGGGGGUGAAAGGCCAAUCAAACCGGGAGAUAGCUGGUUCUCCCCGAAAGCUAUUUAGGUAGCGCCUCGUGAAUUCAUCUCCGGGGGUAGAGCACUGUUUCGGCAAGGGGGUCAUCCCGACUUACCAACCCGAUGCAAACUGCGAAUACCGGAGAAUGUUAUCACGGGAGACACACGGCGGGUGCUAACGUCCGUCGUGAAGAGGGAAACAACCCAGACCGCCAGCUAAGGUCCCAAAGUCAUGGUUAAGUGGGAAACGAUGUGGGAAGGCCCAGACAGCCAGGAUGUUGGCUUAGAAGCAGCCAUCAUUUAAAGAAAGCGUAAUAGCUCACUGGUCGAGUCGGCCUGCGCGGAAGAUGUAACGGGGCUAAACCAUG